rnacentral:rRNA from 1 species
ACGCUCGACACCUACGGGAGGCAGCAGUGGGGAAUAUUGCACAAUGGGGGAAACCCUGAUGCAGCGACGCCGCGUGAAGGAAGAAGUAUCUCGGUAUGUAAACUUCUAUCAGCAGGGAAGAAAAUGACGGUAUCUGACUAAGAAGCCCCGGCUAACUACGUGCUAGCAGCCGCGGUAAUCUGAGCGGGCUGGCAAGGC